rnacentral:rRNA from 1 species
GAUGAACGCUGGCGGCGUGCUUAACACAUGCAAGUCGAGCGAAGCACUUUUGCGGAUUUCUUCGGAUUGAAGCAACUGUGACUGAGCGGCGGACGGGUGAGUAACGCGUGGGUAACCUGCCUCAUACAGGGGGAUAACAGUUGGAAACGGCUGCUAAUACCGCAUAAGCGCACAGUACCGCAUGGUACCGUGUGAAAAACUCCGGUGGUAUGAGAUGGACCCGCGUCUGAUUAGCUAGUUGGUGGGGUAACGGCUUACCAAGGCGAUGAUGCAUAGCCGAGUUGAGAGACUGAUCGGCCACAAUGGAACUGAGACACGGUCCAU